GCCAGGAUGGUGUAGUGGUUUGAGCAUUGGACUGUGACUCUGGAGGCCAGGGUUCGAAUCCCCACUCAACCA